rnacentral:rRNA from 1 species
CCCUAUGGGGUGCGGCACGACCACCCUGUGUAAUCUGAUAACCACCAUCUAUCCGCCCACCCGUGGGAAGAUCGAGAUCAACGGCGAGCCUGCCGAUCCACGAAGACACAAUAUCAGUUUCGUUUUCCAGGAACCUUCCGCUUUUCCGUGGCGUACCAUCUGGGAAAACAUCAAAUUCGGCCUGGAGAUCAAAGAGGGAGAUAAGAGCAAGGAAGAAAUCGAUGAAAGGAUCGGCGAAAUCUUCCGCAUGGUCAAGCUGGACGGCUUCCAGAAGUACUAUCCUCACCAGAUUGCCAUGGGAAUGAGCCAGAGGGUCGCCAUCGCACGGGCGUUCGUCACUCGUCCCGAUUUACUACUCAUGGACGAGCCUUUCGGCCAGUUGGACAUCAAGACCAGGUUCCACAUGAUGGAUGAGAUACUGAGGCUGUGGCGGGGGGGC